rnacentral:rRNA from 1 species
GACAGAGGGUGCAAGCGUUGUUCGGAAUUACUGGGCGUAAAGGGCGCGUAGGCGGACACCGCAAGUCAGUUGUGAAAGCUCUGGGCUUAACCCAGAAAGGUCAACUGAUACUGCGGGGCUAGAGUGCAGAAGGGGCAACUGGAAUUCUCGGUGUAGCGGUGAAAUGCGUAGAUAUCGAUAGGAACACCUGCGGCGAAGGCGGGUUGCUGGGCUGACGCUGACGCUGAAGUGCGAAAGCUAGGGGAGCGAACGGG